UUUCACGGCCACAGCCUUAUGAACCUGUAGCCCAAGACCGCUUACUCACUGACGCUAAGCAGGGCUGAGGCUGGUCAGUACCUGGAUGGGAGACCACAUAGGAAAACUAGGUUGCUGUUGGAA
rfam:Danio rerio chromosome 15, GRCz11 reference primary assembly.